GUUUGAUCCUGGCUCAGGAUGAACGCUAGCUACAGGCUUAACACAUGCAAGUCGAGGGGCAGCAUGGUCUUAGCUUGCUAAGGCCGAUGGCGACCGGCGCACGGGUGAGUAACACGUAUCCAACCUGCCGUCUACUCUUGGACAGCCUUCUGAAAGGAAGAUUAAUACAAGAUGGCAUCAUGAGUCCGCAUGUUCACAUGAUUAAAGGUAUUCCGGUAGACGAUGGGGAUGCGUUCCAUUAGAUAGUAGGCGGGGUAACGGCCCACCUAGUCUUCGAUGGAUAGGGGUUCUGAGAGGAAGGUCCCCCACAUUGGAACUGAGACACGGUCCAAACUCCUACGGGAGGCAGCAGUGAGGAAUAUUGGUCAAUGGGCGAGAGCCUGAACCAGCCAAGUAGCGUGAAGGAUGACUGCCCUAUGGGUUGUAAACUUCUUUUAUAAAGGAAUAAAGUCGGGUAUGGAUACCCGUUUGCAUGUACUUUAUGAAUAAGGAUCGGCUAACUCCGUGCCAGCAGCCGCGGUAAUACGGAGGAUCCGAGCGUUAUCCGGAUUUAUUGGGUUUAAAGGGAGCGUAGAUGGAUGUUUAAGUCAGUUGUGAAAGUUUGCGGCUCAACCGUAAAAUUGCAGUUGAUACUGGAUAUCUUGAGUGCAGUUGAGGCAGGCGGAAUUCGUGGUGUAGCGGUGAAAUGCUUAGAUAUCACGAAGAACUCCGAUUGCGAAGGCAGCCUGCUAAGCUGCAACUGACAUUGAGGCUCGAAAGUGUGGGUAUCAAACAGGAUUAGAUACCCUGGUAGUCCACACGGUAAACGAUGAAUACUCGCUGUUUGCGAUAUACUGCAAGCGGCCAAGCGAAAGCGUUAAGUAUUCCACCUGGGGAGUACGCCGGCAACGGUGAAACUCAAAGGAAUUGACGGGGGCCCGCACAAGCGGAGGAACAUGUGGUUUAAUUCGAUGAUACGCGAGGAACCUUACCCGGGCUUAAAUUGCAGAUGAAUUACGGUGAAAGCCGUAAGCCGCAAGGCAUCUGUGAAGGUGCUGCAUGGUUGUCGUCAGCUCGUGCCGUGAGGUGUCGGCUUAAGUGCCAUAACGAGCGCAACCCUUGUUGUCAGUUACUAACAGGUUCCGCUGAGGACUCUGACAAGACUGCCAUCGUAAGAUGUGAGGAAGGUGGGGAUGACGUCAAAUCAGCACGGCCCUUACGUCCGGGGCUACACACGUGUUACAAUGGGG
rnacentral:rRNA from 1 species